ensembl:snRNA U7 U7 small nuclear RNA
AAGUGUUACAGCUGUUUAGAAUUCGUCUAGCAGGCUUUUGUUUUUUUGCCGGAAAGCCCCU